rnacentral:rRNA from 1 species
CGGGUGAGUAACGCGUAUGCAACCUACCCUUAACAGGGGAAUAGCCCGAAGAAAUUCGGAUUAAAGUCCCAUAAUAUAUUGAGUCCGCAUGGAAUUAAUAUAAAAACUCCGGUGGUUAAGGAUGGGCAUGCGUGACAUUAGCUAGUUGGUGAGGUAACGGCUCACCAAGUCAGCGAUGUCUAGGGGGCCUGAGAGGGUAAUCCCCCACACUGGUACUGAGACACGGACCAGACUCCUACGGGAGGCAGCAGUGAGGAAUAUUGCGCAAUGGAGGCAACUCUGACGCAGCCAUGCCGCGUGCAGGAAGACGGCCCUAUGGGUUGUAAACUGCUUUUAUACGGGAAUAAUCCCCUUUACGUGUAGAGGGUUGAAUGUACCGUAAGAAUAAGCAUCGGCUAACUCCGUGCCAGCAGCCGCGGUAAUACGGAGGAUGCAAGCGUUAUCCGGAUUUAUUGGGUUUAAAGGGUGCGUAGGCGGGAUUGUAAGUCAGUGGUGAAAUCUUGCAGCUUAACUGUAAAAUAGCCAUUGAUACUGCAGUUCUUGAGUACAAUUGAGGUAGGCGGAAUGUGUAAUGUAGCGGUGAAAUGCUUAGAUAUUACACAGAACACCGAUUGCGUAGGCAGCUUACUAAGUUGUAACUGACGCUGAGGCACGAAAGCGUGGGUAGCGAACA